ACCAGAAAUCUGAGUGAGGGGGGCAUUACACUGCAGCAUUUAAAACCUCUGUCGCUGAGCCCUCCCUGGGCUCAUCAGCUGAAGGGAUGGGAACACUCCAGGCUCAAUUCAGGCAAGGGAAUUCUUGAAGGAGCACAGGACUGAAAAUGGACUACAAUGGAGGGAAAUUUACUUGAAGGCAAGCCAAGGAGGAGCAGAGGAAUAUGGCAAGCAUGGUGAUGGAGAAACCCACUGGAGCAGGGAAUGCCAAGAAGAAGGCUAAACAUGAAAGCUGGGAGUACUGGAGAAGUCAGGCUGAAAAGUGACAUUCCUGGUUCAGAGUUACUUACCACUCAAACCAUGUCACCAUCUCCUCUCAGCUCUGAUGAAAUGGUUCUUAGAGAAGACUGGAAUUUUCUUGGAUACCUCUCUACAAGGCUGGAGAUGGAUUCAAAUACUGCAUCAGGACACCAUGUUUUGUUUCUAGACAUUUUUGUCUGCAUGAAGCCCAGCCCAUGGUGACAUUCUAGAAUUAAAAGUUUGUUCUUCUCACUGUC